AAGUCGUAACAAGGUAUCCGUAGGUGAACCUGCGGAUGGAUCAUUAUCACGUUAUCCACGUAUCAACCAUUGUGAACUAGUACCUUUACCUUUGUUUUGAGAUGGAAUUGUAUGAAGGAAACUUUAUACGUUCUGUUUUAAAACAAUUGUAUUUCAAUUCAUUUAUUAACUAUUUAAACAAUAUUUAAAUAAUUAACUAUUGAACUGAAACAUUCUUUACUCUCUUCGGGGAGAAAGAAUAAAAAUUACGAAACAUAAGAACAACUCUUAGCAACGGAUAUCUUGGUUCUC
rnacentral:misc_RNA from 1 species